rnacentral:rRNA from 1 species
UAGUCCACGCCGUAAACGAUGGUCACUAGCUGUCCGGUUUUCGAACUGGGUGGCCAAGCGAAAGUGAUAAGUGACCCACCUGGGGAGUACGUCGGCAACGAUGAAACUCAAAGGAAUUGACGGGGGCCCGCACAAGCGGUGGAGCAUGUGGUUUAAUUCGAUGAUACGCGAGGAACCUUACCAGGGCUUAAAUGUAGAUUGCAUUAGGUAGAGAUACUUAUUUCUUCGGACUAUCUACAAGGUGCUGCAUGGUUGUCGUCAGCUCGUGCCGUGAGGUGUCAGGUUAAGUCCUAUAACGAGCGCAACCCCUGUUGUUAGUUGCCAGCGAGUCAAGUCGGGAACUCUAACAAGACUGCCAGUGCAAACUGUGAGGAAGGUGGGGAUGACGUCAAAUCAUCACGGCCCUUACGUCCUGGGCUACACACGUGCUACAAUGGUAGGGACAGAGAGCAGCCACUGGGUGACCAGGAGCGAAUCUAUAAACCCUAUCACAGUUCGGAUCGGAGU